rnacentral:rRNA from 1 species
AAUGAACGCUUGGCGGCAUCCUUACACAUGCAAGUCGAACGGCAGCAUGACUUAGCUUGCUAGGUUGAUGGCGAUUGCGAACGGGUGAGUAAUGCAUCGGAACGUGCCUUUUAGUGGGGGAUAACGUAGCGAAAGUUACGCUAAUACCGCAUAUUCUCUGAGGAGGAAAGCAGGGGACCUUCGGGCCUUGCGCUAGAAGAGCGGCCGAUGUCGGAUUAGCUAGUUGGUGAGGUAAAGGCUCACCAAGGCAACGAUCCGUAGCGGGUCUGAGAGGAUGAUCCGCCACACUGGGACUGAGACACGGCCCAGACUCCUACGGGAGGCAGCAGUGGGGAAUUUUGGACAAUGGGCGCAAGCCUGAUCCAGCCAUGCCGCGUGAGUGAAGAAGGCCUUCGGGUUGUAAAGCUCUUUUCGGCUGGGAAGAAAUCGCACUCUCUAAUACAGGGUGUGGAUGACGGUACCAGCAUAAGAAGCACCGCUAA